rnacentral:misc_RNA from 1 species
GAUGAAGAACGCAGCGAAAUGCAAUAAGUAAUGUGAAUUGCAGAAUUCAGUGAAUCAUCGAAUCUUUGAACGCACAUUGCGCCCCCUGGUAUUCCGGGGGGCAUGCCUGUCCGAGCGUCAUUACAACCCUCAAGCUCAGCUUGGUGUUGGGCCCCGCCGCCCCGGCGGGCCCUAAAGUCAGUGGCGGUGCCGUCCGGCUCCGAGCGUAGUAAUUCUUCUCGCUCUGGAGGUCCGGUCGUGUGCUUGCCAGCAACCCCCAAUUUUUUUCAGGUUGACCUCGGAUCAGGUAGGGAUACCCGCUGAACUUAAGCAUAUCAAUAAGCGGAGGA